rfam:Homo sapiens chromosome 16, GRCh38 reference primary assembly.
GCCAGGCAUGGUGGCUCAUGCCUGUAAUCCCAGCACUUUGGGAGGCCGAGGCGGGGGGAUCACUUGAGCCCAGGAGUUCAAAACCAGCCUGAGCAACACAGUGAGACCCCAUCUCUA